rnacentral:lncRNA from 1 species
GCAGGAAGUGGCAGGGUCAGGAAAAGCUAGGCCACAAGUUUUCCCUUGAGAGCCUUAGAGACUGCAUCUCACCAUGUUGCUCAGGCUGUUCUCGAACUCCUGGGCUCAAGCAAUCCUCCUACCUCAGCCUCUCAAAGUGUUGGGAUUAUAGAUGUGAGCCACUGUACCCGGCCCUGGUUGCAUUCUUCAUUAUUAGGAACAUAAGAGUCUAGCCCUGUCGCCCAGGCUGGAGUGCCAUGGUUUGAACUCUACUCACCGCAACCUCCACCUCCCAGGUUCAAAUGAUUCUCCUGCCUCAGCCUCCUGAAUAUCUGGGAUUACAGGUGCCUGCCACUACACUCAGCUAAUUUUUGUAUUUUUAGUAGAGACAGGGUUUCACCAUGGUGGCCAGGCUGGUCUUGAACUCCUGACCUUGUGAUCUGCCCAUCUCGUGCUGGUAUUACAGGCGUGAGCCACUGCGCCCAGCCUAAAAUAAUUUUCAGUGAGUUAUAAGAAAACAGCUGCAUUCUGUUCUGUUUUUAGGCCUGGCCAGAGAAUACCAGGAGACUGUAAGAUGUCAUGGUACAUCAAGUCAGUCUCAAGUGUCCUAUAACCCUGGCUUGCCAUCAGCUUAGAAUGUUCUCUUUUUCUACUGACCUGCCUUCCAUCUGUGGUCUCUUCCUUCCGUCUGCUAUUUAUCAUGUACUUAUUGAUGUGUGUCCCAGAAUGUUCAGAAUCAUCUGAUUUAAAAGAUUCUGUCCCAUUUUCAGUAAAAGUAGCCCAAUAUUUUGUUGAGAAAACACAGUGACUGUGCAUAUACCUACCUACUCAUUAAGGUAUCACUUGUUGGUCACCUAGAGUAUAAAUUCAUGGCGUGGAUAUGACCUUGGUAUGAGCCUGUUCUAUACUGAUUUUGUCCCUCAUUGGGGAAAGACACUAGGAGGAUGUGUGUAUAGUGAAUAGAGGUACAGAUUGGGCACAGGCAGACUCUUUCUUGAAUCUAUUUCAUCAAUUAGUGGAUUUUUUUUCUCCUAGCCAAGUUAUUUAGCCUCUUCCUAUAUGAAAUACUCCUUCUUUUCAUCUGUUUUUGUUUUUAAAUGAGAUGACAAUUCAUGACUAGUCUUGGUCCCCUUAACACUUAGUGAGUGCUCAACAAAUGGUAGGAAUUAUUAUGGAUAACAAUAAUUAGUGUAAGUUCAAUAUGUAAAUAAAACUGCCUUUUGUUCACUAUCACAUCGCUUGUCUCAUCGGGUCUCAUCAUGAAAUAUUGGUCAUCAUUACUAUGAGAUCCAUCUAUGGUUAAUAUUACUAGUGUGACCCUAAAAUAGGAUUCAUCAACUAGGUAUGAUCAUCCGUCUAUUCUUUCCUUAAAUACAUUGAGCAAAAUCUUCAGGGGCAGCUGUAUUUUUUAACUGCACAUGCUACAGGGAUUCUGAAGUGAAACAUGGUGAAGAACCACCCAAUCAGACAUUUGAAUGGGGACUGACAGUCUUAAGUCUAAAGAAAUUUCCUCUUCCUUCAUAGUAAUUAGCAAGAAACUUCUACAAAAGUUACAAUGCCAAUUACUGGAAACGCGCAUAUCAGGAGUUCCAUGGAGGACCAUUUCCAAGCAGUAGACAUCAUGCAUCAAUCUGCUUUUUGAAAUCCAGACUGAUUUUCCAAAUCAUUUUUAAAUAAGAGGCCUCAAGCCGUAUGUAAGAAACAAGAAAAUUUGUGCCUUAAGAGCAACUAUCAACUUAAAUCAAAGAGGGGUAAGAGGUAAGCUCAGGGGAUAGAGAAGAUUAACCUAACAACAAAUAGCCUUUGCUUACUUCUGAGAUACCUAGCAAAUGCUGCCUUUUUGAAUUUUGUGCAAUUAGUUUAGUACUUCAAUUACCUAGAUAUUUUUAAGUUAAACAAGCUCUUGAGUGAUUUUUUCAUCAAUUUACAUUGAGUUAUAACAAAUGUAGGAAUAUUUGUAUUUAAAAUGCACAAGAAAAUGCAAAACAUAUCUCUAAUUUGACCACUAAAAGGCCAGUUUCUGAUGAUAACUUUUUGCCAUAUCUUAUUAACUGUAAUGUAUCUUUAAGGAUGACACAUGGAAUAGUUCCAAUGUAUAACAGAAAGGAAAUCUGAUAUUAUACUUAAGUGCAUUCUGUACUCUGUGGGGAAAGAUGCAGAAUAUAUUACAAAGAACAAUGAAGACAUGUUUCAAAAGUAAGCAUUAAUUUAUUCAUUCAUUCAUUUAUUCCCUCACACUCUUAUUCAACAAACAUUUAUUGAAAAUCCUCCCAUGCGCAAGGUGGGUGUUCUAUCUAAAUUCUAUGAAGAACAAGACAGACAAGGUCCGUCUUCUCACAGAGCUUACAUUUUAGUGAGGUAAAGUUGUCAAUAAGUAUGCAAAUUAAAAAAAUGACAGGCUCAACUAAUGCCUCCAAAAGCAACUAUUUUUAAAGCAAAAUCUGAUUGUGUUCAAGUCUAGCAAAGAGUCACAAAAAUAUAUUUUUAGAAAUGAAGAUUGUUGACAUGGUAAGGUUAUUCAUUCUUUCUAUUUUUAUAAAUAAAUCAAUUAACCCUAUUUUAUUUUAAAAAGUCAUGCAAGGUCAAAAACGUUGGGAUGAUUGGUAUUAAACUCUGGUGGAAGAAGCUCCCUGAAUGCCUCCCUGACAUCAGUCAUACAGGUCAGGAAGCAAACACCUUUCCUCUUGUUUCCUAACUGCCCUUUUUACCCAUUUCAUAGCACACACUUACUCCGGUCACCAAACUGGUUACCAUCCUCCUGUGUUCUGUUUUUGUAAGAGGGCAUUUAUUUGGCCCUAGUUACCCAAGAAAAGGCAAUUAGUCUUGACAACUGCUGCAAAGAGAAAAGACGAGAUGAUGGAAACAUUCAACACUUAAAAAUCCUUAGAUUUCAAGCAUUGGGGUUUCUGCCCCUAUAGAUUUCUGGGAGUUUGGGACAAUUAAAAUAUAUCUUUUAUUUUUUUAAAAAAAUAUAUAUAAAUGAAUGCUAAAACAACUCUUAAAAGGAAAUUGCUUUAUAUAGUCUGGCUAUGAUCAGCAAAACUGGUAUUCAUAUUUACAUUUGUUUAUUAUAUCAGUGAGGUUUGAGAAUCAUUUAAAAGAAUUGUGUUCUAAUUCAACCUAAAUUCCCUUCCUGUUAAUCUGAGCCAAAUGUCCCAAACACAGACAUGGCAGUUUUUAAAUCUCUGAAAACUAUUUAAAAACUAAUAUUAAAAAUAUAGUUUUAAAAUAUAUUGCAUAUACCUGUAUACUUAGGUAUGAAGAAAUUUCCUCUUCCUUCAUGGUAAUUAGCAAGAAACUUCUAUAAAAGUUACAAUGCCAAUUAUUAGAAACAUGCAUAUCAGGUGUCCCACGUAGGACUAUUUCCAAGCAGUAGAGAUUAUGCAUCAAUCUGCUUUUUGAAAUCCAGACUGAUUUUCCAAAACACUUUUAAAUAAGAGGCCUCAAGCCAUAUAUAAGAAACAAGAAAAGUUGUGUAUAUUUGUAUACAGGUAUAUACGAGUGCCCGUAUAUGCAAGCUGAGGUGGAGAAAUUGAAGACACAGAUUAUGUAAGCCAUUAACUCUUUAGGGGAGCAAGCUCUGAUGUUCCCACUUGAAGACGGGAGAGGGGAGUCCUCUCAUGCUUGCGUCUCACUGUAACUUUUAUGCUUUUGUCUGUGGGUGUGUUUGUUCAGUGCUUAGACUGAACAACAGUGACCUCUUUGAAACAAGAGGAUAUACAGUUCACGUGCCACAUAAUGACUUUCAGUCAAUGACAGACUGCAUAUAUAAAAAGCACAUUCUAAUAGGACCUUUGAUAAUCGUUUUGUCUUCUUGACUAUCAUCUUCUCUAGGAGAAAGUCUUCCCUGAUACUCUGCCCCCUGCCUCCACACAUACACAUACACAAACACUCAGAUAUAUCUCUACCACACAUACUCCUGGCUAGGCUAAGUGCACCCUUUUCUUUUUCUUUUUCUUUUUCUUUUUCUUUUUCUGAGACAAGGCCUUGCUCUGUUGCCUAGUCUGGAGUGAAGUGGCCUGAUCAUAGCUUACUGCAGCCUCCAACUUCUGGGCUCAGGCGAUCCUCCCACCUCAAUUUCCCAAGUAAUUGGGACUACAGGCAUGCACAAACAUGGCUGGCUAAUUAUUUUUAUUAUUAUUAUAAGUAGAGAUGGGGUCUCACUAUGGUGCCCAGGUCGAUCUCAAAGUCCUGGGCUCAAGCAACCCUCAUGCCUUGGCCUCUCAAAGUGCUAGGAUUACAGGCAUGAGCUAUCAUGUCCAGCCUAGCUACCCCUUUUCUAUACUUUCCUAGCAUCAUGUGUGGGUCUUUCUCAUACUAUCUACAGCACACUGUGAUUGUGUAUUUACCCAUAUUUCUCCCAAAUGACUAUAAACACCUCAAGGGAAAGGAUUAUAGCUUAUUCAUAUUUGAAUCCUUAGUAUUUAUGACAAUGCUUGGCUCAUAAUAAGCUCUCAAGAGAUAUUCAUUCCAUUGAAUUGAAAUGACUUCCACUUGGGUUUCACAGUAGAAUACUCAUUACUCAUCAGACUUACUCAGGGGACAAGUCUCUGGCCUCAUUUUCAUUUGCAUCUUGGCCAUGAUUUUGCCUACUGUCAAUCACCAUGAAGUACAGAAAAGCAAACUGAGCUAUGGUGAGCCAAAUUAACUGGACCUAAGAUGACCUCAUCAGCAAAGCGCCCUAAGCAAUCAAGCAAUCGGGUCAGCUAGUUGCAGCCUAUAGUUAUCGUGGAAAACUGGUUGCUACUUUGAUCUCAGCUCACCUUGCCAAAUACUCCUUUUGUUUGAAAGAUAGUCAUAACAAGUACAAAACAACACUGAGUGAAUAUUUUUAAUAUUAUAAGCACCUAGAUAAAUUUAAUUUCUAUUUCCAUUAAUGAUCUGAAUAACCUAAAUUCUUCUAAUACCUAUAUUUGUCCAAUUUUAAGGUAUUCUGACUUAGGCAGAAAUUGGGCAAUUAUCUGAUUAAUUCAGGCCAAUAUUUUUAACACUGGAUUUCUGCAUCACAAGAAUUGUUAAUUUAUUCUUAUAUCCUCAUUCCUGGUACACAAUGGGUGCUCAGAAGUAGCUAGGAUUUACUGAGAGCUUACUAUAUGCUAAACUGUACAACAAUGUGUUAUCUUACAUUAAGUCUCACAAAAAUUAAAACUCUCAAAAAACUUCGCACUAAUUGUUUGAGAUAGAUGAGAUUACAAUCUGAGUCUUAAGAAGGUUAAGUAACCCACCCAAGGUCGAAUUAAGAACUUGAGCUAUCUUUUUAAUCACUACUCUAUAUAGACAUUUGUUGAAUAAAUGGUCAGAUGCAUUUUGAUCAAGCCUAUGCUUAUUUGAAAUAUCACAUGCUUUUUUGAACUUUAUAGAUAUAUAUUAACCAUUUGGAAAAAUGUAAGAACAAAAUCUCAUGGAAAAUGUAAAUUUCAAUCUUGCAAACUAAACAUUCGAUUUAUACACUUUCAGGAUUUACUCUGUUGUGUGAAUAUGCGUACUUUAGAAUAAAACUGGUAUCAUACUAUACAAUGAAUAUCAAGUUUUAAUUCAAUAAUGUUUAAUGAAUA